GGCUAAAUUAUGCUGGAGAAACCACAAAUGUCUCUACAUUUAAAGCUUAUUCAAACUGACACAGAGGCCGGAAUGGACAAGAUUGCAAUUAAUUGUGACAUUUCUCUUUGACAACAGCACUCUUCGCGGCUCCUGCCGGCUCUAUACUGACCCUGUUUCACACGCAAUAUUUUCCUUAUUCAGUCACUAACACACGUUUUGUAUCCCACUAUGAAUAACAUGAACAUUUCCACCAAAACCCAGAAAAAAUCAUAAUUUUAUAGACGAAACA